GGAGGUGUCAGGGUUCCUGGUGGGCCCCCCGGGUCUCAAACCCGUGGAACGGCGACCCGUCGUCGUUGGCAGGUUCGAUUCCUGUCCGCCUCC
rfam:Serinicoccus sp. JLT9, complete genome.